AACGAAAAUUCUUAAAACCGAAAAAGGAAACAGAAAUACAGGAUCCCUUUCUCUCAAUUCUCACACCUAUGCUUCACUUCACACAAAUCUGAACCCAAACCCAAAAGAAAAAAAGAAAAAAACCGCCAUGACCGAUCAUCACCACCGGUUCGGCCAGCUACGGUCCACAUCCCAGAUCCUAAAAAAAACCGCCGUGCAAUUCGCCGCCCACCCUUUCGCAUUCCUCUUCCUUUCUUUCCUCCUCCUCUCUUUCCGUUCCUUUGUUGAAUCCGGUUCGCUGCUCCUCACCUCCUUCAUCGACCGCGAUCCUUCUUUCAAAUCCCUCCUUUCCCGCCUCGACCUCCACCCUUCUCACCCACACGCGCGUCUCCACCCCACUCGUCGCCCCACGCGCCGCCCUUUCCUCCACCUCACACGCGUCGGCACUCUCGACGAUGACUUCUUUUCUUCCGACGACGAUCACCGCGACCGCUCCCCCUUCGGUUCUUUCCCUAAACGCCCCCUCAAUGGCACGCCCGUAAUUCUUUCCAACUUCGACACUAAAUUGGGGUUUUCGGAUUUCGUUGCCGAUAAUGGAAUUCUGCUACCAGAAAUUGUUCGUUAUGGAGUCAAAUUUAAAGCAGCCUCGUUUGACUACGAAAAUAACGAAGGGGAACAACAAGAAGAAAGAAUUGUGGAUUUUCAGUUCGUUUAUAAAGGAUUGGAGUUGGGCCGACGUGACGCGGCGGCGCUGUUCUUUCUCGUCAGCUUUUUAUCGGCAGCUUAUGGAUGGGUAAUUCUAGGGUUUACAGCGAUUUACUCUUUGGUCUUGGGUGUUCUUUUUGUUACAGUUGUUAAUGACUUGAUUGGAAGAUUUGUUUCCUUUUUUGGGGCUUUUUGGGAUGGGUCGAAAAUGGGUUUGAAAAGACUCACUGGGUUCGUUUUAAUGAAAUGGGCGGUGAGAGACGCGGUGACUCAGCUUCUUGGAUUAUGGUAUUUCGGAGAAAUUGAGGAUCAUUACUCGUUUUUCAAGCUUUUUGUUAGGUUAAAGUUGAUGCCUUUUUCAGUUAUGUCACCGUGGAUUAGGGGUUUCGAGAAGGAGAUUUCAGGGUUUUUAUUUACGUGGUUUUUGGUGGAUACUUUAGUUUCAUUUGCAUUUUCAUUAGCUGCUUGGAUUGCUAUUGUGGAUUCGAGGAGAACCGGGAGGGAAAUUAUUAAAGAAGGUUGUUAUUUGAUGUCAACAAUGUUGAACCAAGCGAUACAGAUUAAGUGUUACGAAGCUAUCUUAGGUGGGUCUCUUGCGAGAUGGAUUUUGACUUAUAUAGGUGGGGAAUUUUUCGCCACCGUUAUUCAGGCAGCUUUGGAGGUGUACUUCAUGUUAGCUUGGUUGAUAUUUUACUUUGUCGCUAGGUGUAGGGAAGCUACUGCAGAGGGUAGGAGGUAUGGGAGGAGAGAAUUGGAGGCUUUGAUUGAUGGACUUAGAUGAUACUCAAGUGGGAAAAAAAUGGGUGAAAGUUACUUUUGCUGCUAGAAUUUUCGAUUGUGACGCUGAAGAUAGCUGAAGAUGGUGGCAAUCUUUCAAUGCUUAGAGUCUUCCUGUUUUUGCAGUGCUAGCGAUGCAAUACUGCCAUUGUUUGUUAGUUAAUUUGAUGAGCUUUAGGAACGAGACAAUCUUAGACAACUGCAUCAGACUGACAAGGUUAUUUAUGAGAGACAUGAUGAAUGCAAAGUUGGUUGGUGAAGAGAAGUAAAUAAGAGUUUACUUAUGAAAGAUUAUUGGAAUGUGACAUGCAAUUUUAGCAAAUAUUGGAUGAUGUUUCUAUGUCAUGGUUUCAGAAGGAGAGAAAACCUGAGUUGGAAAUGAUGUGUUUUGACAUGGGCCGAGAUGAGAAGUCAGAUAAAAGAAUGCAACACUGCCUAGAUUAUGGCGGGUUCUGCUUGUUUUUAGCCUUUUUGUAUUUAUGAUUAUUUAAGGUUAUAAAAAGUUGCUUGUAGUUGUGAAAUUGCAGAGGGUUGUGGAAGUUUAUUCAAGCUGGCUUGGUGAAUCAAGAUUUAAGGGGAUCUUUAGAAAACUGAAUGUUGAAGACCCUCUUUUAUCUUUACAAAUUUUAAAUCACUAAAAUGAUGUAAGAUAGAUUUAAAUUGUGAACAUUAUCCUCUAAAUGGGUCUCGUUAUUCCAAUAUUUUUGGCUGUUGAAUAGCAGCAGGUAUGAAGCGGCACUUUGACCAUUAUUGUUGCGCUGCUCCAGUGGUAUUGGAUUGGAUUUUAAGACAAGCUUUUGGGCUUUGGCCUUCAAAAUACAUUUACCUCUAUGCUGGUGGCAAUCUGAUGGCUGUCAAUAUUGUUUCUCAUAUGGCUGAGGAUCUUAUCAUAAGCCUUAUCUGUGCAUGUGCUCCUACUAAGUGUUGUGACAGAGUGUUUGUAGGAUGUUUUUAUGAUUUUCAGACUAUUUGAUAGUUUUUCAAAUUUAAAUGCAUUUUAGUUGAGAGAGUUUUAUCAUUCUGAUGACUCCACUAUUAUGCUGUGAGUGCUUUGGACAAGUCUACUUUGGUCCUUUGCAUGCACACUUGAGCGAGUUUGGAUUAAUGAUGUGUAGAUUUGUUGUUAUACGAAGACUGAGUUUGUUUCUGUAU